rnacentral:rRNA from 1 species
UGCUUGCACUUGGAUGGACUGAGUGGCGGACGGGUGAGUAACGCGUGGGUAACCUGCCUAUCAGAGGGGAACAACAGUUAGAAAUGACUGCUAAUACCGCAUAUACCUUAGAAUCACAUGGUUCAAAAGGGAAAGGAGCAAUCCGCUGAAAGAUGGCCUCGCGUCUGAUUAGCUAGUUGGUGAGGUAACGGCCCACCAAGGCGACGAUCAGUAGCCGGACUGAGAGGUUGAACGGCCACAUUGGGACUGAGACACGGCCCAAACUCC